AUACGUAGGGUGCAAGCGUUAAUCGGAAUUACUGGGCGUAAAGCGUGCGCAGGCGGUAAUGUAAGACAGUUGUGAAAUCCCCGGGCUCAACCUGGGAACUGCAUCUGUGACUGCGUUGCUGGAGUACGGCAGAGGGGGAUGGAAUUUCGCGUGUAGCAGUGAAAUGCGUAGAUAUGCGGAGGAACACCGAUGGCGAAGGCAAUCCCCUGGGCCUGUACUGACGCUCAUGCACGAAAGCGUGGGGAGCAAACAGGAUUAGAUACCCUGGUAGUCCACGCCCUAAACGAUGUCAACUGGUUGUUGGGUCUUCACUGACUCAGUAACGAAGCUAACGCGUGAAGUUGACCGCCUGGGGAGUACGGCCGCAAGGUUGAAACUCAAAUGAAUUGACGGGG
rnacentral:rRNA from 1 species